rnacentral:lncRNA from 1 species
UCCGACAGUGCAAAAUUGGGAGAAUAUUAAAGCUACAUCAGAUGAACUUAUGAGCUUCACCAAAUGUUGUAAAUAAGCAUUCCCUGCACCUUGCCGAGUAAGUAUGGCAAUGCUUAGCCCAUUUACUCCAUUCAAUCUGUUGUAGAUCAGGUUUGAUUAUCUGUUUGAUAAAAUGAUCAAAUUCAAGUUUGAAUUUUUGAUCUGCAUAAUAAAGGUAUUAGAUUUGAAUUGACAUAUUUUUGAUCUAUAAUAUAUCUGAUCUAAGCCGUAUCUUAUUUUACUCAACCCGAUUGCCAUCCCUAUUACCAAGUGCAGAUAAACAUUCUAUCACACCCAAAAACAUAUACAGUAGAUUUAGAUCUUAAAAAAUUCCAUCGGUACCUGCAGCCAAUGCAUGUCAACUGUGUAGUCACAGAUAUUCAUCUCCCAUAUGUUCAAUUCGUUUUCCACAAAAUUAAUAUCAAGAACUGCCAAAGCAGCCACAAAUGUUAUUUGUCAGAAUUCCAUGGGUACCUGCAGCCAAUGCAUGUCAACUAUGUAGUCACAGAUAUUCAUCUCCCAUAUGUUCAAUUUGUUUUCCACAGAAUUAAGAUCAAGAACUGCCAAAGCAGCCACAAAUGUUAUUUGUCAGAAUUCAUCCAUAGAAUAUCAAACAAAUCCAAUAUGAUGAGUUCCCUCUAAAAUAUCCCAAGAUGGUUGAUACAUGUCAACCUAUGCAUGAGGUUUUCAUCUUGUCAGUAAUCUAACCACUUCAAAAUAUUUACAAAUUGGGUACUUUCAUUGCUUCUAUCUAUUUUUCAGUGCAAUUGAUAGAGUAAUAAAUAUCCAACAAGUUGUCACAAGCUUAAGGACUACAAAGAAAAAUAAGAUCAUUGUGAAAGAAGAAUGAUACACCAUAUCACUCAUUGUGAAAGAAGAAUGAUACACCAUAUCACCAAAGUAAGAUGUAGCUUAUGAUGACUAAGAUAUCAAAAUUGAUAUAAAACUACCACAAAUGACAACUCUCC